rnacentral:lncRNA from 1 species
UCUAUUUCGCGAAACCCAGACAACAAAAUGUCUCCGACGUUCUUGAUUCUCUGAUGUCGAAUUGAGAGUGAGUUUUGGCAGGAAUUUUGUUUUUAAUCUGUUGUUAUCUUCACUAUCCGAUGUCGUCUCUCUGUCUCUCUCUAUUUCUCGAAGCUUCCGCCGGAGAAAUCUCUGCCUCUCUUAUUCAUACGUCGAAUUGCGAGGAGAAAUGAGUCGGGAUUGCGAUUUUGAUCUGUCGGUAUCAUCAUCUGCUGGAGAAAUGGCACGAAUCUCUAUGAUUGUUCGCUGAUUUCAUUUGUAGAUCAUAAAUUAGGGUUUAGGGUUGUGUCGAAAAUUAGGGUUUUCACAAUUGGGAAUUGAUGGUAGCAAAAUUAGUGUUCUAUGAUGUUAGCAUGUCGUUUUCAAACCAAAUUAGGAUUCGAUGAUGUUAGCAGAAAGUUUUUUUAAAAAAUAGGGUUCAUAUGAUGUUAAAAGAUUGGGAUUUCUGAAUUGAUCCGUUUGUUUCCAUUUGACAUCGCAGAUACUGUCGUUUUGAACCUUGAAUUUGAUUCGUUUGAUAAGUUUUUGCUUGAAUUAGAUAUAUUUCUCUGUUUUUAGCAUGAACUUUUGCAUUUGAAUUGAUCCGUUAUACUGUUUUUGUUGAGGUUAAAUGGAGAAUUUGCAAGAAUUGCUAGAGAUAUUGAAAUGGAGACCGAAGGGAAGGCUCAUUCAAGGUAAAACAAUCUUCACCUUGUUCAUCCUUAUAUCAGUGAACCUCUGUUUUAGUUUUGCUCUUUCAUUCUCUUUAAAAGUUGAAUUUGAUCCGUUUGUUUCUAUUGAAUUUGAUGCAUGGUGGCUCUGGUUAUGAUGCUUGGUGGCUCUGUUGACACUACCAUACUCGUUUUCCCAGCUGGGCAGUUGAAUGAGUUUCAAAUGUGCUUUUCAGGUUUGGUUUGGACAGAGAUGACAUGCGGAACAUCUCUGCUUUUCAGAUUGGGUUUGGGACUUGGCAGUUGAAUGAGUAUCACCUUAAGAGAGAAAUGGUAAGAAUGAGUUUUAUAUUUGCUUACGGUUUAUAUUGGACAAAAUUCUCUACUUACCAAUAGGUUUCUCUGUUCUUUGUACUCUCUUUAAUUCUUGUAAAAAUGCUUGUAUGACUUUGAUUGUAUGAUUGCUUGUAUUGGAAGAUAUUGUUUUGUAAAAAUUUGAAUUUUUUUCCCAA